rnacentral:lncRNA from 10 species
GGGUUUUUGCCAUGUUGCCUAGGCUGGUCUCAAACCCCUGACCUCAAGUGAUCUGCCCGUCUUGGCCUCCCAAAGUGCUGGGGUUACAGGUGUGAGCCACUGUGCCUGGCCAGCUGCACUUCUUACUCUCCUCCUAAGAGAAGCCCGAUUUUGUUUUCAGAGUGCUCCUUGUGUGAACUGGGGUUGUGGGAAGGAGUGACAUUUCCCUUCCUUUGUUCAGACGGGGUGAAGACUUAACUUACAGGUAAGGGAGGCCCUUGACUGACGUGGGGUGGGAACUGUUUCGAGCUGUCCUUAUCUCUGGGCCUGUUUCCUGACCUGUGAGAUGGGCCUGUUUCCUGACCCGUGAAAUGAGAAGGUUGGGUGGGAUCAGUUUCCCAGGCUUGCCUGUGGUGAGUAGCCCCCGGAGUGCUCAUUCAAAAGCCACUCUGCUCUCCCGAAUGAGAAUGUUUAGGAGUGAACUCUGUCAUGAGCAGGCAUCCAAGUGAUCCUCCCCUUCAAGGAUGUUUGGGAAUGGUGGUCUGCACAGUCUCUAACAGAUCUUCCAACUCCAAAACUCCUGUCCCGGCUAUGUCUGGAAGGCAGUGACUCCUAACUAUUCCUGAGACCCAAAUGGCUUUGCAAGUCUUACAACAGCUGUGGAUGUUCUGUUUAGUAAAAACGUAUACAGACACAGAACUUCAAAUUCAGUUGCAGGGUCUGUGGCUUUUGAUUAAGAAUUCCUACUUUAAGGUUAACCCUUGAAAGAGAAUGUAAGCAUUCACUUGAGCCAGGCAUGAAGCAGCUGCUCACUAAAGGUCAGUUAUUAUGCUAUUUCUGUGUCUCAGCUUUUCUAUGAAAUUCUCAUAUUGUUGUCUCAUUGUAUAGGUGAGGACACUGAGGCAUAGAGAGAUUAACAUGCAUUGUAAGUUGUGGCUGAAUUUGAACUCAAACAGUCUGAUUCCAGAGCCAGUGUGAACUUAAAAUCUGGGCUGCCUGAUAAAGUGGUUAUCAGUUUUGCCUACUUGAAUUCAUGGCACUUUCUGCUCCUAAUAUUUCUGGCCACUUCCCUAUACCUCCUUAUAUUAGUCAUAAUUAAGUAAGCAGCUACUAUGGUAUGAGGCCACCACUUCUCCUGUUGUCCUUCCCAGUUUCUCCCCAACCUCCCCUUUUCCCUAGUUUAUAAGACAGGAGAAAAGGGAGAAAGCAAAAAGUUGGAAAGAAACAGAAGUAAGAUAAAUAGCUAGACGACCUUGGCACCACCACCUGGCCCUGGUGGUUAAAAUAAUAAUAAUAUUAACCCCUGACCAAAACUACUGGUGUUAUCUGUAAAUUCCAGAUGUUGUAUGAGAAAGCA